AUUGGACGCUGGCGGCAGGCCUAACACAUGCAAGUCGAGCGGAUGAAGGGAGCUUGCUCCUGGAUUCAGCGGCGGACGGGUGAGUAAUGCCUAGGAAUCUGCCUGGUAGUGGGGGAUAACGUCCGGAAACGGGCGCUAAUACCGCAUACGUCCUGAGGGAGAAAGUGGGGGAUCUUCGGACCUCACGCUAUCAGAUGAGCCUAGGUCGGAUUAGCUAGUUGGUGGGGUAAAGGCCUACCAAGGCGACGAUCCGUAACUGGUCUGAGAGGAUGAUCAGUCACACUGGAACUGAGACGCGGUCCAGACUCCUACGGGAGGCAGCAGUGGGGAAUAUUGGACAAUGGGCGAAAGCCUGAUCCAGCCAUGCCGCGUGUGUGAAGAAGGUCUUCGGAUUGUAAAGCACUUUAAGUUGGGAGGAAGGGCAGUAAGUUAAUACCUUGCUGUUUUGACGUUACCAACAGAAUAAGCACCGGCUAACUUCGUG
rnacentral:rRNA from 1 species